rnacentral:rRNA from 1 species
CCCCUAGACGUUCUGGGCUGCACGCGCGCUACAAUAAUACGCACAGCGAGUAUCACCGAGCUCGAAAGGGCAAGGUAAACAAUAGAAAAGGUACUGUAAUGGUUAUAGAUCCUUGUAAUUAUUGAUCUUCAACGAGGGAUUCCUAGUAAGUAUGUGUCAUCAUCACGCACUGAUUACGUCCCUGCCCUUUGUACACACCGCCCGUCGCUCCUACCGAUUGAGUGAGCCGAUGAAACUGCCGGAUGUGGACUAUUCAUAGUCUGCAGAAGAUAUUUGAAUCGUAGCGCUUAGAGGAAGGAGAAGUCGUAACA